GACGAACGCUGGCGGCGUGCUUAAUACAUGCAAGUCGAACGCAGUGGGGACGGGUGAGUAACACGUGGGUAACCUCCCAUCAGAGGGGAUAACACUUGGAAACAGGUGCUAAGUCCGCUACCGUUGGAUGGACUCGCGGUGCAUUAGCUAGUUGGUGAGGUAACGGCUCACCAACGUCACGAUGCAUAGCCGCCCUGAGAGGGGGCUCGACCACCCUGGGACUGGGCCGCGGCCCAGACUCCUGCGUGAGACAGCAGUAGUGAAUCUUCGGCAGUGGACGAAAGUCUGACCGGUCAACGGCGCGUGAGUUAAUGAGGUUUUCGGAUCGUAAAACUCUGUUGUUAGAGAAGCGGUAUCUAACCAGAACGCCACGGCUAACUACGUGCCAGCAGCCGCGGUAAUUC
rnacentral:rRNA from 1 species